GGGGUCAUAAUCUAGCCAGGUAGGAUGGCAGGCUCCAGACCUGCUAACGGGGGUUCAAAUCCCUCUGACCCCA
rnacentral:tRNA from 2 species